rfam:Triticum aestivum genome assembly, contig: Triticum_aestivum_CS42_TGACv1_scaffold_030302_1BL
GUAGUAUUCCCUCCGUCCCAAAAUUCUUGUCUUUUGUUUAGAUACGGAUGUAUCUAACACUAAAAUGUAACUAGAUACAUCCGUAUUUAGACAAAUUUAAGACAAGAAUUUUGGGAUGGAGGGAGUACAAA